rnacentral:lncRNA from 1 species
UGCCUAAAGGUGCAAACCUUGGCAAACCCCUUCAGCCCAUGGAGUUCAGACUUUGGCUUUACUCUUUGCCCAUAAGAUACAUAUCUUAGCAUUCUUGCCUUAUGGAGUUCGGACUCUGGUUAAACCCCGUUUGUCCUUGUGAUUGAUCACCAUCUUUGGUUAGUGCCACCUCCUUGCUUGUUAAGCAAUCUACCUUGCCUUUAGGCAAUCCUAUCAAAUCUUCUAGCUCUCAGCCCUAGUGGGUUGAACUAUGAAAGCUCUAACUUCCUUAUUGCACUAUAAGGAUACGUAGGCAAGAGAACCCAGUUUCGUCGCGAGCUACCUUAUUUAUAAUCCAUCCUUCAUUUCAAUCAAUUCUACUUAUUUUGCCUCAUCAAUCAUUCUUGUUUUCAACCCUAGUGGGUUGAACUACGAAAUCUCUAAUUUCCUUAUUACACGAUGAGGGUACGUAGGCAGGAGGAUUCAGAUUCUUCACGAGCUACCCUAUUUAUUAAUCAAUCAUUCUCCAUUCAUGCAAUCAAUAUCAUCUUUUUGAGAUCGGAUAUUACUUCUCCUUGGUUUCCAUGUUCAUCCUUUUAGGACGCCUAAUGAACAGGCCGC